CGCCAGCGUAUCUCCGCCCUCAGCCCGACGCUGCUACCCCGCCGCAGGCCGAGCGAUCCACCUGCAGAUCCCGAGUUGCUGGUCGCUACCGCUGCGCCAGCAUCACCGUGCCCCACCUGCGAGGCUCUGCGUGACCGACCAUCUGAAGCCCGCGAUUUGCAACUCGCGAGCACCCCUCCGCCGACGCUCCCUGCUACCCGCUGAUCCGGCCCCCGUUCGCCUCCGCCCGUUCGCCAGAACCCAAACCUGCUGCAACGUCUGUUUUCCCCUUCGCCGGAGCCUGACGUCGUCGCGCCUCAGCUACCGCGGCUCCGCCUCUGCAGCAAUCGACACCAUCGCGCCUCUGCACCCGCGAGCUCGCCCGCCGCCGGUUCACCCUUGCCGGAGCUGCCCUGCCGGACCGACGCCAGUUGCCUUAGGUGCCCUGCCACGAGCAAUCCGUGCUUGGGAAGGGAAAAAGAAAACAGAAAAACAAAAGAAAAAAGGAAAAUCAAUUAGGU
rnacentral:lncRNA from 1 species